rnacentral:rRNA from 1 species
CGAAAAUAUAACGGGGCUAAGAUAACCACCGAAGCUUUAGGUUCGGAUAACAGAAAACGGAAAACGGAAAACGGAGGAUAGAGAGUGAAAUAUCAAGAUGGUGUAGAGAAUUUAUUUGUAUACCAAAUUUCGUAUAAAUUGAUGAUAGAAAUUCAUAAAGAGAGUUUAGAGUUUCCAAAGAUUGAACAAUAUGGUGGUAUUGCAGAUCAAUUAAGAAGAUCAAGCAAAUCAAUUACUGCAAAUAUAGUAGAAGGAUUUGGAAAGCAACAUUUCUUUAAAGGUGAAUUUCAGAGAAUGUUGGUUUACUCCAUAGGAAGUUGUGACGAAACAAUUCUUUGGAUAAAAACAGCAAGAGAUUUGGGAUAUAUGGAUAAGAUAACAUCAGAUAGAUAUUUAAAUGAGUAUCAAAUACUUGUUAAAAAACUUUCUACAUUCACAAAAAAUAUGAAACGAUAGAUAAACUAUCUUCCGUUUUCCGUUUUUCUGUUUUCAGCUAUCCGAUCGGUAGGAGAGCGUUCUAUUCAGCAUUGAAGCUGUACCGGUAAGGAGCAGUGGAGCGGAUAGAAGUGAGCAUGCAGGCAUGAGUAGCGAUAAUUAAAGUGAGAAUCUUUAACGCCGAAAACCCAAGGUUUCCUACGCGAUGCUCGUCAUCGUAGGGUUAGUCGGGUCCUAAGACAAGUCCGAAAGGGGUAGUCGAUGGCAAAUAGGUUAAUAUUCCUAUACUUAUUAUAGAGCGUGAUGUGGGGACGCAUAGAGUUAGCCAAGCUCACUGAUGGAAUAGUGGGUCGAAGGAUGUAGGUUGUUAAGUAGGCAAAUCCGCUUAACAUUAAACCGAGAUCUUACAGGCAGUUCAAAACCUUCGGGUAGCGAACUGAAUUGGUGAUACUGUCGUGCCAAGAAAAGCCACUAAGCAUAUCUAUAAUAACCCGUACCGCAAACCGACACAGGUAGGUGGGAUGAGUAUUCUAAGGCGCGUGGAAGAACCCCCUUUAAGGAACUCUGCAAAUUAGCACCGUAACUUCGGAAGAAGGUGUGCCUACUUUGGUAUAUGAAUUUACUUCAAAAAGCUAAAGAGGUUGCAACAAAGAGUCCCUCCCGACUGUUUACCAAAAACACAGCACUAUGCUAACAAGUAAUUGGAUGUAUAUGGUGUGACGCCUGCCCGGUGCUCGAAGGUUAAUUGAUGGGGUUAGCCGUAAGGCGAAGCUCUUGAUCGAAGCCCGAGUAAACGGCGGCCGUAACUAUAACGGUCCUAAGGUAGCGAAAUUCCUUGUCGGUUAAAUACCGACCUGCAUGAAUGGCGUAACGAGAUGGGAGCUGUCUCAACCAGGGAUCCAGUGAAAUUGUAGUGGAGGUGAAAAUUCCUCCUACCCGCGGAAAGACGGAAAGACCCCGUGCACCUUUACUAUAGCUUGGCACUGCUAUUGGGAUAUUCAUGUGCAGGAUAGGUGGGAGACUUUGAUCAUAGGACGCUAGUAAUAUGUGAGUCACCCUUGAGAUACCACCCUUGAAUAUUCUGAUAGCUAACUUUUAGCAGUUAUCCUGCUAGAGGACAAUGCCUGGUGGGUAGUUUGACUGGGGCGGUCGCCUCCUAAAGAGUAACGGAGGCUUACAAAGGUUGGUUCAAACCGGAUGGAAAUCGGUUGUUGAGUAUAAUGGCAUAAACCAGCCUGACUGUAAGACGUACAUGUCAAGCAGAGACGAAAGUCGGUCAUAGUGAUCCGGUGGUCCCGUAUGGAAGGGCCAUCGCUCAAAGGAUAAAAGGUACGCCGGGGAUAACAGGCUGAUCU